GACGAACGCUGGCGGCGUGCUUAACACAUGCAAGUCGAACGGAAAGGCCCUGCUUGCCGGGUACUCGAGUGGCGAACGGGUGAGUAACACGUGGGUGAUCUGCCCUGCACUUCGGGAUAAGCCUGGGAAACUGGGUCUAAUACCGGAUAGGAGCCAUUUUUAGUGUGAUGGUUGGAAAGUUUUUUCGGUGUAGGAUGAGCUCGCGGCCUAUCAGCUUGUUGGUGGGGUAAUGGCCUACCAAGGCGGCGACGGGUAGCCGGCCUGAGAGGGUGGACGGCCACAUUGGGACUGAGAUACGGCCCAGACUCCUACGGGAGGCAGCAGUGGGGAAUAUUGCACAAUGGGCGCAAGCCUGAUGCAGCGACGCCGCGUGGGGGAUGACGGCCUUCGGGUUGUAAACUCCUUUCGCUAGGGACGAAGCUUUUUGUGACGGUACCUAGAUAAGAAGCACCGGCUAACUACGU
rnacentral:rRNA from 1 species